GACGGAGGGAGCAAGCGUUGUUCGGAUUUACUGGGCGUAAAGGGCGUCUAGGCGGGCCAGCCAGUCAGGUGUGAAACCCCCCGGCUCAACCGGGGAUCUGCACUUGAUACUGCUGGUCUUGAGUACGGAAGAGGAAGGCGGAAUUCCUGGUGUAGCGGUGAAAUGCGUAGAUAUCAGGAAGAACACCGGUGGCGAAGGCGGCCUUCUGGUCCGAUACUGACGCUAAAGCGCGAAAGUGUGGGGAGCAAAC
rnacentral:rRNA from 1 species